rnacentral:rRNA from 1 species
GCAAUUAUACCGUGAANCUGCGAAUGGCUCAUUAAAUCAGUUAUCGUUUAUUUGAUAGUACCUUACUACUUGGAUAACCGUGGUAAUUCUAGAGCUAAUACAUGCUAAAAACCCCGACUUCGGGAGGGGUGUAUUUAUUAGAUAAAAAACCAACGCCCUUCGGGGCUCCUUGGUGAAUCAUAAUAACUUAACGGAUCGCAUGGCCUUGCGCCGGCGACGGUUCAUUCAAAUUUCUGCCCUAUCAACUUUCGAUUGUAGGGUAUUGGCCUACAAUGGUAUCAACGGGUAACGGGGAAUUAGGGUUCGAUUCCGGAGAGGGAGCCUGAGAAACGGCUACCACAUCCAAGGAAGGCAGCAGGCGCGCAAAUUACCCAAUCCCGACACGGGGAGGUAGUGACAAUAAAUACUGAUACAGGGCUCUUUUGGGUCUUGUAAUUGGAAUGAGUACAAUUUAAAUCCCUUAACGAGGAACAAUUGGAGGGCAAGUCUGGUGCCAGCAGCCGCGGUAAUUCCAGCUCCAAUAGCGUAUAUUAAAGUUGUUGCAGUUAAAAAGCUCGUAGUUGAACCUUGGGUCUGGCUGGCCGGUCCGCCUCACCGCGUGCACUGGUCCGGCCGGACCUUUCCUUCUGGAGAACCGCAUGCCCUUCACUGGGUGUGUCGGGGAACCAGGACUUUUACUUUGAAAAAAUUAGAGUGUUCAAAGCAGGCCUUUGCUCGAAUACAUUAGCAUGGAAUAAUAGAAUAGGACGUGCGGUCCUAUUUUGUUGGUUUCUAGGACCGCCGUAAUGAUUAAUAGGGAUAGUCGGGGGCAUCAGUAUUCAAUUGUCAGAGGUGAAAUUCUUAGAUUUAUUGAAGACUAACUACUGCGAAAGCAUUUGCCAAGGAUGUUUUCAUUAAUCAGUGAACGAAAGUUAGGGGAUCGAAGACGAUCAGAUACCGUCGUAGUCUUAACCGUAAACUAUGCCGACUAGGGAUCGGGCGAUGUUAUUCUUUUGACUCGCUCGGCACCU